rnacentral:rRNA from 1 species
CAUGAUCAGCCACACGGGCACUGAGACACGGGCCCGACUCCUACGGGAGGCAGCAGUAAGGAAUAUUGGACAAUGGACGCAAGUCUGAUCCAGCCAUGCCGCGUGAAGGAUUAAGGUCCUCUGGAUUGUAAACUUCUUUUAUAAGGGACGAAAAAAGGUCUUUCUAGAUCGUCUGACGGUACCUUAUGAAUAAGCACCGGCUAACUCCGUGCCAGCAGCCGCGGUAAUACGGAGGGUGCAAGCGUUAUCCGGAUUCACUGGGUUUAAAGGGUGCGUAGGCGGGCAGGUAAGUCAGUGGUGAAAUCCUAGAGCUCAACUCUAGAACUGCCAUUGAUACUAUCUGUCUUGAAUAUUGUGGAGGUAAGCGGAAUAUGUCAUGUAGCGGUGAAAUGCUUAGAUAUGACAUAGAACACCUAUUGCGAAGGCAGCUUACUACGCAUAUAUUGACGCUGAGGCACGAAAGCGUGGG